GACGAACGCUGGCGGCGUGCUUAACACAUGCAAGUCGAACGAAGAGCGAUGGAAGCUUGCUUCUAUCAAUCUUAGUGGCGAACGGGUGAGUAACGCGUAAUCAACCUGCCCUUCAGAGGGGGACAACAGUUGGAAACGACUGCUAAUACCGCAUACGAUCUAACCUCGGCAUCGAGGAAAGAUGAAAGGUGGCCUCUAUUUAUAAGCUAUCACUGAAGGAGGGGAUUGCGUCUGAUUAGCUAGUUGGAGGGGUAACGGCCCACCAAGGCGAUGAUCAGUAGCCGGUCUGAGAGGAUGAACGGCCACAUUGGGACUGAGACACGGCCCAGACUCCUACGGGAGGCAGCAGUGGGGAAUCUUCCGCAAUGGACGAAAGUCUGACGGAGCAACGCCGCGUGAGUGAUGACGGCCUUCGGGUUGUAAAGCUCUGUUAAUCGGGACGAAAGGCCUUCUUGCGAACAGUUAGAAGGAUUGACGGACCGAAUAGAAAGCC
rnacentral:rRNA from 1 species